rnacentral:rRNA from 1 species
UACGGGGGGAGCAAGCGUUGUUCGGAUUUAUUGGGCGUAAAGAGCUCGUAGGCGGUUGGGCAAGUCACGUGUGAAAUCUCCACGCUCAACGUGGAGGCGCCACGUGAGACUGCCCUGACUCGAGUCCGGUAGGGGAGCGUGGAAUUCCCGGUGUAGCGGUGAAAUGCGCAGAGAUCGGGAGGAACACCCGUAGCGAAGGCGGCGCUCUGGGCCGGUACUGACGCUGAGGAGCGAAAGCGUGGGGAGCAAACAGG